CACGGAGGGUGCAAGCGUUAAUCGGAAUCACUGGGCGUAAAGCGCACGUAGGCGGCCUUGUAAGUCAGGCGUGAAAGCCCUCGGCUCAACCGGGGAACUGCGCUUGAUACUGCUUGGCUUGAGUAUCGGAGAGGGUGGCGGAAUUCCAGGUGUAGGAGUGAAAUCCGUAGAUAUCUGGAGGAACACCGGCGGCGAAGGCGGCCACCUGGACGAAUACUGACGCUGAGGUGCGAAAGCGUGGGGAGCAAACAGG
rnacentral:rRNA from 1 species